CAGCGUGUGCCUGAGAAAGUGUCGGAGCCUUUACCUCGACCUUCCCGUGAAAAAGGGAACAGAAUAGUCAACGGAAAAGGAGAAGAUGAAGCAACGAUGAAGGCUGAAUGUCUCACGCCUGUAAACCCCAGCACUUUGAGAGGCUGAGGCCGACAGAACACUUGAGCCCAACAGUUCAAGACCAGCCUGGGCAACAAGGCAAAACCCCGUAUCUACAGAAACUACAGAAAUCAGCCCAGCAUGGUGACACAGGUCAACGGUCAAAACGACUUGGAUGGCUGAAGUGUGAGGAUCACCUGAGCCCAGGAAAUGGAGAUAGGAGUGAGCCAAGGUCUCGCCACCGCAUUCCAACCUGCGUUACAGAGUGAAUCCCCCUCUCAAAAAACAGCCGUUAAAAUGCUGCUUACACGGAAGACUGUGUUCUAGGUACUCCAGGAUACACACAAAUAUGUUUGCUGACCUCCAGUGGCCCAUGAUAUGCAGGCGCUUUCAAUGAUUUUUUAAACAAGGAAACCUAAAAACUUCCGAAACCCAAAAUUUCAGAAUGUGAUAGAUGGACUUUGAGUGGUCAUUUUAUGUUUUAAGAUGUAGUCUUGCCCUGUCACCCUGGCUGGAGUGCAACAGUGUGAUCUUGGCUCACUGCAGCUUCCGCGUCCCGAGUUGAAGCGAUUCUCCCGCCUCGGCCUCGGCCUCCUGAGCAGCUGGGAAUACAAGCAUGCACCAGCCUGCCCGGCUAAUUUUUGUGUCUUUUCUUCUUUUAGAGUCAAGGUUUCACCAUGCUGGCCAGGCUGAUCUCAAACUCCUGACCUCAGGUCAUCCCCCACCUCGGCCUCCCACGGCGCUGGGAUUAUAGGCUUGAGCCAUGGGGCCCGGCCAAGUCAAUAGUUUAGAUAAACUACAAUGACAAAAUUAUGACAGUGAAGUAUUACCAUAUUGGUAUUAAGAGUCUCUGCUUCGAGAACUGUUUAUUUGCAGCAACAGAUGAAGUGUUUCAUGGAAACUGUUCGUGGACAGCUUACAAAACACACCAAAAAAAAUCCCUUUGCGAUUCCACUUCUGCAAGGCUCCACAGAAGUCUCCAACCUUCAAAUCUUCAGUCUCUGAAAGCACCGAUUCCUGAAAGGAUGGCCUCAAAUGACCAAGUAUACGAGCCGUCUAUAUCCCUGCUCCUGAAAAACAAGCUAACUGGACUCUCCAUCACCUGCCCCCAGCACAGAUGCACUACCAGCUACCCAGCUGAACUCCAUGACUGACUUGCCAUCCAAUCAUGCCCCUGACCCAGCCUACAUGAACAAGGGAAGGAACAUCAGCGAAUUAGGAAAAGAGGCAGAGGUGAGGAGACCACCUGUCCUGGGCCACAGAGCUAUGUAGAGUUCAGCAAUCUCUAGCCCCUUAGUAUUCCAGGGGCUCUAAACCACCUUCUGUAAGUCAGGAUGGAAGUAGAUGGUGCCACGAAGAUUUCUCUCUGCUGUAGCCACUCCUUCAGUGUCUCAAAAUGUUUUAACAUCUUUCAGUAAAAAUCUGUCAGUCCUUGAUAAAUUUUUAAAAAAAAGGCAGCAAAGUUUUUAGAGCUCCCUUGAACCUUCUAUUUUAAGGCGCCUUUGUAGAUAAUUCCCAACAUUCUGUGUGUCGGUCAUCUUUGGAAUUUAUCGAUCGAUCAUUGUUUCUCUUCAAACUUGGCCUUGCCCUGCCCAUUCCAUUCUUACCCGCUUUCAUUGGCUUCACUAGUCAAUUCCACACUCAUUCUAGACACUGGGUGCACGAGACUCACUCCCGUUUGUAUUACCAAAACUCAGGCCAAUAGGAUAUAAAAAGUAGGAAGAAUACUGGGAUUUAACAUGAGUACAAAUCUCAUUUCUUCCAAUUCCUAUGUCUUCUUGAAUCCUAAUCUUUCUGAGACUCAAGUUUUCUAUCUAAACGAUCCUUUGACCAGAAUGUUCAACAGACGUGACAAUACUAGAACGUGUUUUAAUUCAUUCUAAGAUUCCUUAAAAUUCUGUAAUUCUAUGUGCUUCUGAUUCUGGGAAUACAUAGCCAGCAGAAUUU
rnacentral:lncRNA from 1 species